rnacentral:rRNA from 1 species
CCUACGGGGGGCUGCAGUUGGGAAUCUUGGACAAUGGGGGAAACCCUGAUCCAGCCAUGCCGCGUGGAGGAUGAAGGUCCUCUGGAUUGUAAACUUCUUUUAUUUGGGAAGAAACUCCCGAUUUCCAUCGGGAUUGACGGUACCAGAUGAAUAAGCACCGGCUAACUCCGUGCCAGCAGCCGCGGUAAUACGGAGGGUGCAAGCGUUCUCCGGAUUCACUGGGUUUAAAGGGGGGCAGGGUGGGCAGUGAUGAAAUCUCCGGGCUUAACCCGGAAACUGCCAUUGAUACUAUUUGUCUUGAAUACUCUGGAGGUGAGCGGAAUAUGUCAUGUAGCGGUGAAAUGCUUAGAUAUGACAUAGAACACCCAUUGCGAAGGCAGCUCACUACGGAAAUAUUGACGCUGAGGCACGAAAGCGUGGGGAUCAAACAGGAUUAGAUACCCCUUAGUC